rnacentral:rRNA from 1 species
UACGUAGGUGGCAAGCGGUGUCCGGAAUUAUUGGGCGUAAAGCGCGCGCAGGCGGUCCUUUAAGUCUGAUGUGAAAGCCCACGGUUCAACCGUGGAGGGUCAUUGGAAACUGGGGGACUUGAGUGCAGAAGAGGAAAGCGGAAUUCCACGUGUAGCGGUGAAAUGCGUAGAGAUGUGGAGGAACACCAGUGGCGAAGGCGGCUUUCUGGUCUGUAACUGACGCUGAGGCGCGAAAGCGUGGGGAGCAAACAGG